rnacentral:rRNA from 1 species
CCUACGGGAGGCAGCAGUGGGGAAUCUUGGACAAUGGGGGCAACCCUGAUCCAGCCAUGCCGCGUGAGUGAUGAAGGCCCUAGGGUCGUAAAGCUCUUUCGCCUGUGAUGAUAAUGACAGUACCUGGUAAAGAAACCCCGGCUAACUCCGUGCCAGCAGCCGCGGUAAUACGGAGGGGGUUAGCGUUGUUCGGAAUUACUGGGCGUAAAGCGCGCGUAGGCGGACCGAAAAGUUGGGGGUGAAAUCCCGGGGCUCAACCCCGGAACUGCCUCCAAAACUGCCGGUCUAGAGUUCGAGAGAGGUGAGUGGAAUUCCGAGUGUAGAGGUGAAAUUCGUAGAUAUUCGGAGGAACACCAGUGGCGAAGGCGGCUCACUGGCUCGAUACUGACGCUGAGGUGCGAAAGUGUGGGGAGCAAACAGGAUUAGAUACCCUGGUAGUCCACACCGUAAACGAUGAAUGCCAGUCGUCGGGUAGCAUGCUAUUCGGUGACACACCUAACGGAUUAAGCAUUCCGCCUGGGGAGUACGGUCGCAAGAUUAAAACUCAAAGGAAUUGACGG